ACCUCUGUGGUGAAAUUGGUAGACGCGCUGGACUUAAGAUCCGGUUCUUAGGAGUGUGGGUUCGAGUCCCACCGGGAGUACAA
rnacentral:tRNA from 1 species